rnacentral:lncRNA from 1 species
GUAAUAUCCCUCACUUUUGAAAAUUAUUAAUAAAGAUUUAUUUAUAAAUCGGAGGACCUAUAUGUAAAUAUAGAAAUUUCAAGGACUAAACUGUUAAGUUGUAAAAAGAAGAAAAUAAAGAAAACCAAAAAUUUCGGUUUUAUCCCACCGCCUCCCACGCUCUCUCUGUUUCUCGAAAGAAACAGAGAGAGGCGGUGGGGCGUGGGGAGAAAAAGAAGAGAAGUAGAGGGAGAAGAGAAGAAGAGGGAAAAGAAGAGAGGAAGAAGAGGGAGAAGAGAAGAAAAGAAGAAGUAGAAGAGAGGGAAGAUGGAGAGGAGAAAGAGAGGCAGCUGCAGCAGCUAGGACUGUAGCACCUCUGUUUCCCGCAGGUGGAAACAGAGGAGAGGAUGUGUGGGGCGUUGAGGAUGAAAAAGGGAA